GAUGAACGCUGGCGGCGUGCCUAAUACAUGCAAGUCGAGCGAACAGACGAGGAGCUUGCUCCUCUGACGUUAGCGGCGGACGGGUGAGUAAAACGUGGAUAACCUACCUAUAAGACUGGGAUAACUUCGGGAAACAGGAGCUAAUACCGGAUAAUAUAUUGAACCGCAUGGUUCAAUAGUGAAAGACGGUUUUGCUGUCACUUAUAGAUGGAUCCGCGCCGCAUUAGCUAGUUGGUAAGGUAACGGCUUACCAAGGCAACGAUGCGUAGCCGACCUGAGAGGGUGAUCGGCCACACUGGAACUGAGACACGGUCCAGACUCCUACGGGAGGCAGCAGUAGGGAAUCUUCCGCAAUGGGCGAAAGCCUGACGGAGCAACGCCGCGUGAGUGAUGAAGGUCUUCGGAUCGUAAAACUCUGUUAUUAGGGAAGAACAAAUGUGUAAGUAACUAUGCACGUCUUGACGGUACCUAAUCAGAAAGCCACGGCUAACUACGUG
rnacentral:rRNA from 1 species